GAAGUUGAGCGAUCAAUAUUCUGAAGAAAAAAAAACACGAAGGGAAGCGCAGCGCAUCGCCCCUCCACCGCUCAGACCCCUUCUGCUCCUCCUCCGGCGGCGACAGCGGCGGGCGGCGGGCGGCGGAGAUGAGCACGUGGAGCUAAGUCGCGACGGCGCACAAGCCCACCAGCGCUCACCAGCUCGACCUCGCCGUGGCGGAUCAGCAGGAGAUAGCCCAUGGCGGCACCUUGGGGUCUCCGACAGUGAAGACAUGCCUGGGGAAGAAGGGCAACACCACCUGGGUGACGUAGAUGGCAGCAGGCACUUGUGGAGAUGCAGCAGCUGCUCCAGGAGCCUUGCCGAUGGCAGGAGGAAACCGCCAGCACUGCCUUCACGGUGGCCGGUGGUGGUCGAUGGUCUUCACGUACCUCACCACACGUUUAGGAUCGGCAGUUAGGAGGCUUUGAUUGUGGUUCUGUUAUCAGUAAUAAAACCCCCUUUUUUUCCUUAUAUAUAUGUGUGUGUUGGGUACAUGGGACUAGAACCAAAAGUUGUUAUAUGUGCUCCCGAUCAAGGCACACUCGUGAGAGGGUGGAGACUUUGUCUCCCUUAUUUUUC